rnacentral:rRNA from 1 species
UACGUAGGGGGCAAGCGUUGUCCGGAAUCAUUGGGCGUAAAGAGCGCGUAGGCGGUCCAGUAAGUCCGCUCUGAAAGUCCGGGGCUCAACCCCGGGAGGCGGGCGGAUACUGCUGGGCUAGAAUCCGGAAGAGGAGAGUGGAAUUCCUGGUGUAGCGGUGAAAUGCGCAGAUAUCAGGAAGAACACCCGUGGCUAAGGCGGCUCUCUAGUACGGUACUGACGCUGAGACGCGAAAGCGUGGGGAGCGAACAGG